GAAAUGCGAUACUUGGUGUGAAUUGCAGAAUCCCGUGAACCAUCGAGUCUUUGAACGCAAGUUGCGCCCGAAGCCAUUAGGCCGAGGGCACGCCUGCCUGGGUGUCACACAUCGUUUCCCCAACGCAGCAACAUUGUUACAUG
rnacentral:misc_RNA from 1 species